rnacentral:rRNA from 1 species
GACGAACGCUGGCGGCGUGCUUAACACAUGCAAGUCGAACGGUCCUUAUCAGAUGAAAUUUUCGGAUGGAAUCUGAGAAUGGAUAGUGGCGGACGGGUGAGUAACGCGUGGGUAACCUACCCUUAUGACCGGGACAACAGCUGGAAACGGCUGCUAAUACCGGAUAAGCUGACAGGAAGACAUCUUCCGGUCAGAAAAUGGAGGCCUCUAUUUAUAAGCUCCCGCACAAGGAUGGACCCGCGUCUGAUUAGCUAGUUGGUAGGGUAACGGCCUACCAAGGCGACGAUCAGUAGCCGGCCUGAGAGGGUGGCCGGCCACACUGGGACUGAGACACGGCCCAGACUCCUACGGGAGGCAGCAGUGGGGAAUCUUCCGCAAUGGGCGCAAGCCUGACGGAGCAACGCCGCGUGAGUGAAGAAGGCCUUCGGGUCGUAAAGCUCUGUCUUUAGGGAAGAACAGCAGUAGUGCGAAUAGUGCUAUUGCCUGACGGUACCUGAGGAGGAAGCUCCGGCUAACUACGUGCCAGCCGCCGCCGUAACAC